rnacentral:piRNA from 1 species
UGAGUGCUUUAGAUAGGUGUUUGGAGA